AACAAGGAUUCCCCUANUAACUGCGAGUGAAGCGGGAAGAGCUCAAAUUUUGAAUCUGGCGGUCCUCGUGGUCGUCCGAGUUGUAAUCUAGAGAAGCGUUUUCCGCGCUGGACCGUGUACAAGUCUCCUGGAACGGAGCGUCAUAGAGGGUGAGAAUCCCGUCUCUGACACGGACUACCAGGGCUUUUGUGAUGCGCUCUCGACGAGUCGAGUUGUUUGGGAAUGCAGCUCAAAUUGGGUGGUAAAUUCCAUCUAAAGCUAAAUACAGGCGAGAGACCGAUAGCGAACAAGUACCGUGAGGGAAAGAUGAAAAGAACUUUGGAAAGAGAGUUAAACAGUACGUGAAAUUGCUGAAAGGGAAACGCUUGAAGUCAGUCGCGUUGGCCGGGGAUCAGCCUUGCAAUCUUGUUGGGUGCAUUUCCUGGUUGACGGGUCAGCAUCGAUUUUGACCGUCGGAGAAGGGUCGAGGGAAUGUGGCAUCCUUCGGGGUGUGUUAUAGCCUUUGAUCGUAUGCGACGGUUGGGAUCGAGGAACUCAGCAUGACCCCUCGUGGGUUUGGGGCUUCGGCUCACAUCCAUGCUUAGGAUGCUGGCAUAAUGGCUUUAAGCGACCCGUCUUGAAACACGGACCAAGGAGUCUAACAUGCCCGCGAGUGUUUGGGUGUUUAAAACCCGAGCGCGUAAUGAAAGUGAAAGUUGAGACCUCUGUCGUGGAGGGCAUCGACGCCCGGACCAGAACUUUUGUGACGGCCCUGCGGUAGAGCGUGUAUGUUGGGACCCGAAAGAUGGUGAACUAUGCCUGAAUAGGGUGAAGCCAGAGGAAACUCUGGUGGAGGCUCGUAGCGAUUCUGACGUGCAAAUCGAUCGUCGAAUUUGGG
rnacentral:rRNA from 1 species